UACAGAGGGUGCAAGCGUUGUUCGGAAUUAUUGGGCGUAAAGGGAGUGUAGGCGGCUUGUUAAGUCUUCUGUGAAAUCUACGGGCUUAGCCUGUAAAGUGCAGAGGAAACUGGCGAGCUUGAGUGUCGGAGAGGAUAGGGGAAUACCCGGUGUAGAGGUGAAAUUCGUAGAUAUCAGGAGGAACACCCGUGGCGAAGGCGGCUUUCUGGGCCGCACCUGACGCUGAGGCGCGAAAGCGUGGGGAGCGAACGGG
rnacentral:rRNA from 1 species